GUGAGGAAUAUUCCGCAAUGGGGGAAACCCUGACGGAGCAAUGCCGCGUGCAGGAUGAAGGCCCUCGGGUCGUAAACUGCUUUUAUAUGAGAAGAAUAUGACGGUAACAUAUGAAUAAGGGACGGCUAACUACGUGCCAGCAGCCGCGGUCAUACGUAGGUCCCAAGCGUUAUCCGGAGUGACUGGGCGUAAAGAGUUGCGUAGGCGGCUCGUUAAGCGUGAAAUGAAAUUUAUCGGCUCAACCGGUAAACUAUUUCGCGAACUGACGGGCUCGAGAGUAUGAGAGGUUACUGGAAUUUCUAGUGUAGCAGUGAAAUGCGUAGAUAUUAGAAAGAACACCAACGGCGUAGGCAGGUAACUGGCAUACAUCUGACGCUGAGGCACGAAAGCGUGGGGAGCGAACCGGAUUAGAAACCCGGGUAGUCC
rnacentral:rRNA from 1 species